GGUUUCUUUCAGACAAUCAAAGGCCCAAAGGUUAAGAUUUCUCUAGAAAAUCAAGGCCCAGGGCUAGGGUUUCGAUAGAAAACCAAGGCCCGAGUUUAUGAUUUGCUAGAGAAAAUUUUGCUUGUUCUUUUUAUAGGAAUUCAUUUCUACAUUCGCGCGAUACGAUCUUCUAGAGAAAGACAGAUCGAUGAUUAGUAUUUCUCAGAAAUACAGCAACUAUGUCGACGAUGCUAGCUUCCUGAGAAUUAAUAGCAUCGUUUGGGUUUAGGGCUUUUCGAUUGCAAAGGAGAACAAAGCGGCUUCGCAGGCCACCGUCAAUGGCAACAAUACACUCGCGAGCUCUCUACGAUGUCGUCCAUAAGGAUCGCAAGAGGAUGUGUUUUUUCUUAGGGAAACGACGGUAAUGGCGAGAAUGUACGAGAUCUCGAUGGUGCCGUCCACGGGUUACUCAUUCUCGGCGUGAUAAUAGACUGGUGUUAACAAGGCGUGUGUUUGAAAAAACGUAUGGAUAUGGACUUUGGUUUCAAAGAAAGUCACUUUCUAAAUCCCUUUCUGCAAAGGAUGCUCCAAUACAGGCAUGUUCAUUUUAUACUACCACCAUUUGUUCCUGUUACUUUACAAUGUGUAGAAUGAUCCUAUGUCUGCUCUUUAAGUGAGCUUCCCUUCAGCCUUAUGACAGUUUCUUAUGUCUUAAAACUUUAAAGCUUAACAAGAUGUGGUACUUGUAUAGAAUUUUGUGACAAGCCCGUGGGAAGGAAAAGAGAAGCCUUAGUAAAAGGACC